rnacentral:rRNA from 1 species
GAGUGUAAAAACUCCCAAACCCUUUGUGAACAUACCACUGUUGCCUCGGCGGAGCUGCCCGGUAGCUACCCUGUAGCUACCCUGCAGCCGCCGGCGGACCAUCAAACUCUGAUUAUAUAGAUAUCUGAGCGUACUUUUAAAUAAGUCAAAACUUUCAACAACGGAUCUCUUGGUUCUGGCAUCGAUGAAGAACGCAGCGAAAUGCGAUAAGUAAUGUGAAUUGCAGAAUUCAGUGAAUCAUCGAAUCUUUGAACGCACAUUGCGCCCAUUAGUACUCUAGUGGGCAUGCCUGUUCGAGCGUCAUUACGACCCUUAAGCCUAGCUUAGUAUUGGGAACCUACGUGCGGCAGCUACCCUGUAGCUACCCUGUAGCUCCUUAAAGACAACGGCGGAGACGUGGAGUCCUCUGAGCUUAGUAAACUUUUUCUAGCUUCUGAAGGCGCCGCGGCCCCUGCCGUAAAACCCCCCAACUG